GGCGCUAUAGCCAAGUGGUUACGGCGACAGAUUCGAACUUGCUCUUGGUUCCAUCUGUUCCUCUUUGAGGGCGCAGGUUCAAAUCCUGCUGGCGUCG